rnacentral:misc_RNA from 1 species
AACAAGGCGUACCUGCGGACCUGCGGAGGGAUCAUUACAGAGUUCGUGCCCUCGCGGGUAGAUCUCCCACCCUUGUGUAUUCCUUACAUUUUGUUGCUUUGGCAGGCCGUUGGUUCGCCAACCACCGGCUCUACGGGCUGGUGCGUGCCUGCCAGAGGACCCCCCAAACUCGGUUUGUUAGUGUCGUCUGAGUAACCAUAACAAUCGUUAAAACUUUCAACAACGGAUCUCAGAUCGGAA